GGAGGGCCAUGGGAGAGGUUGCCGAGAGCAGGGCUGGCAACCUGUUUGGUCCCUGGCAGCCUAGCCCCCAGCGUGGCCCAGAAGGACCUCCAACAGAUUAAGGUUUAAACAGAAGAGGACUGGACAAUCUCAACAGAUACAGAAAAGCCCUCCGCUGGCCUCCCCCCCAGGAGGACCCCACCAACAGGGUCCCACUGAAUAAUUACCCUCGGGAUGUGAUGGGCUGACACUGCCUCCUGACGUCGACGGCUGAGAAAGAUGCUCUUUUUCUAUCCCUCAAACGGUCAACUUUUUCGUUUGUUUUUGUUUGUUUUUGCUUUUUUUAAGGCCGCACCCCAGACACAUAGAGGUCCCCAGGCUAAGGGUUGCAUUGGAGCUACAGCUGCCUGCCUACACCACAGCCUCAGCAACGCCAGAUCCAAGUCGCGUCUGAGACCUACACCACAGCUCACAGCAAUGCCGGAUCCUUAACCCACUGAGCAAGGCCAGGGAUCGAACCUGCGUCCUCGUGGAUGCUAGUCAAAUGGGUUAACCGCUGAGCCAUGCCGGGAAUUCCUGGUCGGUCAAAUUUCCUCACUGCUCUUUCUUUUUCAAAGUCCUGUGUCUGCUGGGGUGACCUCACGGUAAUUUUCCUAUGGAAGGAGGCUUCUGAGAGGAUAAGGACUCUGACACCUGUUUAGAGAGAGGGGUUCCUGAUUCUGGGGUCCGAGGAGGGCUUCCGAGGGUCUGGGGACCACCUGCAAUUGUCCAGCAAACAAUGCGUCCACGCACACGGAUAGGCAUCUAUUGUCCCCCAAGAAAGGGAGUCGCUAGUUUUCAGCAGAAGUUCAAGGGGAAUCUGUAUCCCAGAGAAGAGUAGCAAAUGUUCACGGAGAAGCAGUGGAUACCCGAGGUCCCUGGCCUGGAGCUCAUGACCCCUUAGGGUCUAUGGAGACAAUUCAGGAAGCCCAGGAGCUGAGACCAGGUCAAUUUCGAUCUUUAGUUCAUAGCUAUUUCUCCACUCUAUUAAAACCGUUGCAGGUAUCUCGAAAUAUUCCUAGCACUCUUCAUUCCUCAGAAAUUAUGGUGUCUCUAUCACAUCUUUCUGGACUCCACGUUGGUACUCCCCUCCCGUAAGGGAGAAAAACCCCUAUAGGACAAUGUGGGGUGGGGAGGGCUCUUCUUCCGCCUCCCAGCUGUCCUGGGAGCUGUUGCUUUCCUGUCAUAAAGACUUCGCUUGCUUAAAAAAAAAAAAUCCAGAAAUCGUGGUGGUUUUAAACCAGCAACUAUGCUGUCUUUAAUGCAUUAAUAAAGAAGCUCAUAUACCC
rnacentral:lncRNA from 1 species